GGUUAUUAGACUUUAUACAGGUUACGACAAAAGCCCGUUUUGGCCGAUUUCCAACAAAAAAAUGAAUGAAAAUUUUGACAGACAAAUUGGAAUGGUUUGUUUACAAUUCGACUGGUUUGUUUACAAUUUGUCUGGAUUGCAAUCGUGCUAUGCUGUGAUAAGGAAGAAAUCGAGAAAGUGAGCAUCCAGUAAAAAUAUGCAUUUGUUGUGGUGAUAAGAUCCAACAUGUAGGAGUUUAACAUUGUGUCAGCAUUAUUAGCAUUACGGACCAGGAGAUAAAUGAGCGAGUGAAGUACCCAGCUAGAAAGCAUAUUUUGAAGGGAAAAUGUAUGCAGUUGCUAUAACUUGUGCGAUUUCUCAUAUACGUGUGCAGUGCAGACACAGUUUCAUCUUACGAGUUUCCUUUCCGACCAAGAACAGUUCAGUAACUAUGAAGAGGGAGGGGGGCAAAGUGCCGUAUAUUCCCAAAGCAAUCACUGUUCAUAAUAGAUGAGGAAUCAUACCAUGCCUGGCUGUUGCACAGUAUCCGUUGGGAUAAGGUUUAGCUCCCUUCAGAUUCCACCCGACUGCAACAUAAUGUCCUGAUGACCGAGAUGGCAUGUUGCUACGGCUAGAUGAGUAUCUUUGCACUAAUGAACGAAUGACCCGUUGAAUGUUGCUCCAUUCUAGGGAACGAAUUCUUUUACCACCCGGAUGUAACUGUAGCAUCAGCAGAGGGAGAAGCUGCUCAUAUAUACCGUCAUAUAGAGAUAAACCGUUAGCUGGCCACCACAUGUAUUGGCGUAUCCCUGUGGUUCCAACAGUGCCGCGUGAUGGGUCCAGCACACAAAUAACCAACAAUUGCAACCAUAGCCCGACUCCAGUGUGUGAUCUGGUUGCAUAAUCAGUUCUGACACGCAGACUGGAUGCACGUGAUCAUACGUCAUCUACCAUCUCAGCUCACUAAUGAACAAUGAAAGACAGUCAAUCUCAUAUCGAAGCAAACCACUAAUAAUCAAAUCUUGAGAAGCAUAUCGACGAUCGUGGGGAUCAUUAAACUAAACAUACGACACCGAAUUUCAUAUGGGAGAAGAGUAGCACUCGAUUGCCUCAAGAGCCGCCUAACGGUUGAACGCUUUCAACCCUGUCAGUUCAUACCAGACUAACUGGGUACCAAACAAUGCUCGCGUAUUCUAAAGUAGGAUAGAAUAAGCUACAGUAAAGGGUUUUGAAGCAGUGGGGUAACGCACAUCAUGCAUCAUCAAUGAUUCCGACCCGCAAAUGGAGCGGGUGUGCUAGAUCGGAGUCGGAAACUGUUGUGUCUUUGGCUUGCAUCACGUACUUUAUUAAAACACUAAUAUAACAGUACACAUCAUAAAUAAUAACAAGCACAAUACACACUAAAAUACUCGGCCGCGCGCCAGCCGUACCGUGCCCUGCCGGGAGCCCUGCUCGACCGGCUGCUCGCAACACUUGCUUGUCCGAGCGCACAACACACACUAAGCGGCCCGCGCUUAGUGUGCGUACGACAGUGUGCGUGACACACUGUCGUCCCCUGGACAUUGACCAGUGGUAGCACAACUACCACGGCAAGUCCAGGGGUCGGCACGGCUGCCCACAACAGAAACAAAUCCGACCCGAGGUAGUAAGGACUUCAAGUUAACUCGAAUGAUUAGUAGUUGUAAGAAAGCAUAAGCGAUUCCAUCUAUUAACCCAGUAACCCAUUGGUGCAGCGAGUUUGGGUCAGGUCAAAGUAGGUUCAAUACCCGACCCGUACUCGCUGCACCAAUGGGCCGGAAUCGCUUAUGCUUUCUCGUAUCUACCGAAAUCGUUGCACAUACUGCAUCUAUUUGUACGUUUCAGGUUGACCCGCACGACUCCGGGAUGCUUCGGAUUGCUCCGACCCGGUGAGUUCCAGUUGCCCCGCCUUUCACUAGUGUGUGUAUAGAAGAACGUGCGUGAGUUGUCGGAUCGCUGACCAAGGAGUAGGAGAAGGAUGUAAAAGUGAGUUAAUGUUUAACGAGCCCGUUGUAACAAUAAUAAUUAGAAAAUAAACUUCAAAUAUAUUUGUGUUUUUUGGUAGCAUUUAUCAAA